GCAUGCGCAACGUUCAACUGAGGAGUGGAAGCAAGUCGUCUUCACAGACGAGUGCACGUUCACUGCAUCGUGCGAUCAGCAAGCCCGUAUUUGGCGCCCUGACAACACCCGGUACCAGCCAAAGUUCUUACAAAGAGUCUCGAAAAG
rnacentral:lncRNA from 1 species